CCUACGGGGAGCUGCAGUGAGGAAUAUUGGUCAAUGGACGAGCGUCUGAACCAGCCAAGUAGCGUGAAGGAUGACUGCCCUAUGGGUUGUAAACUUCUUUUAUAAAGGAAUAAAACGAGGCACGUGUGCCUUUUUGCAUGUACUUUAUGAAUAAGGAUCGGCUAACUCCGUGCCAGCAGCCGCGGUAAUACGGAGGAUCCGAGCGUUAUCCGGAUUGAUUGGGUUUAAAGGGAGCGUAGAUGGGUUGUUAAGUCAGUUGUGAAAGUUUGCGGCUCAACCGUAAAAUUGCAAUUGAUACUGGCAGUCUUGAGUACAGUUGAGGUAGGCGGAAUUCGUGGUGUAGCGGUGAAAUGCUUAGAUAUCACGAAGAACCCCGAUUGCGAAGGCAGCUUACUAAACUGUGACUGACAUUGAUGCUCGAAAGUGUGGGUAUCAAACAGGAUUAGAUACCCUAGUAGUC
rnacentral:rRNA from 1 species